rnacentral:rRNA from 1 species
GAGUUUGAUCGUGGUUCAGAUUGAACGCUGGCGGCAUGCCUUACACAUGCAAGUCGAACGGCAGCACGGGAGCCUUGCUCCUGGUGGCGAGUGGCGAACGGGUGAGUAAUGCAUCGGAACGUAUCCUGGAGUGGGGGAUAACGUAGCGAAAGUUACGCUAAUACCGCAUAUUCUGUGAGCAGGAAAGCGGGGGACCUUCGGGCCUCGCGCUCUUGGAGCGGCCGAUGUCGGAUUAGCUAGUUGGUGAGGUAAAGGCUCACCAAGGCGACGAUCCGUAGCAGGUCUGAGAGGAUGAUCUGCCACACUGGAACUGAGACACGGUCCAGACUCCUACGGGAGGCAGCAGUGGGAAUUUUGGACAAUGGGGGCAACCCUGAUCCAGCCAUGCCGCGUGAGUGAAGAAGGCCUCGG